rnacentral:lncRNA from 1 species
CAAAGGCUUUGAAGAACUCCAUAAUUCUGUAGGACUUUCAAGUAAACAAAAAAAAAUAACAAAAAAAUUAACUCAACAGAAAAUAACGAAACAAACAAAAAAUAACAUGCCACAAGGUCCAUAACAACAACAAAAAGGAAUUUCCAGAAGAACAGAGGACAAACCUGGUUAAAAACCCACUGAAAAAACCCAAAUAGCAAAGAGACAACAAGGGGUCACAUAAAACCUAGAAAUUUUUUCAAGGUCAAAACCCAGAUAGAGUAGAUGGGUAAAUUGCAGCAAACCUUCAUAAAAUACAGUUGUAAUCCUUCAUCAGCUUAGCUACCAGAAAGAGAGGAAUACAAAGGGGGGAUUUGGGGAGUAGAAUCAAAAUCAAAACGGUUAACAGAGCUGAUAGAGGAGGAGAAGGAGGAGCCAAUUGGGGAGGGGUUUGAAUGUUCAAAAGCUGGGCGUUUCUUGGGGACACAAAUUUUAUAGUCUGGAAAUGAGAGAGGAGAGAGAAAAAGAUAUCGAU